rnacentral:tRNA from 1 species
CCGUCAAUAGCUCAGUUGGUAGAGCGGGGGACGGUAGACGAUCUCCAAAGUUGAUAUCCAUCGUCGCUGGUUCAAAUUCGGCUCGACGGA